rnacentral:tRNA from 1 species
UGCCGGCUUAGCUCAAUUGGUAGAGCAACUGACUUGUAAUCAGUAGGUUGCGGGUUCAAGUCCUGCAGCCGGCAUCC